UUGUUGAGCAGAACUCUACUGGUCACAUGAUUAAUAUCAUGAUCUUAAAUUUUAAUAUAUCUCAGAAUUUGUGGGGGAAUCUCUUUUAUCAGUUUGAUAAAUUUUGAUAUUAUAAUUGCUCUCGUGAUUUUAUUUUUUUUAUCCUAGUAUUCAUCUUGGAAACGAAUUUGGUAAAUUUUAAGAUUGGUAGGAAAAUUAUUUUGAGACAUAAAUUUAUUAGAUGGUUAUUUUCAUGAUAUUACUUAUUUGAGUUUUAUUAGAUAUGAACAGAAUUUUCCAGAUUAUUUGAUGAACGGCCUGAAUAGGACUAAGAUCUUGAAAUCAUCGAGAGGGAUGAGACUUUGCCGGUAAAGGGCCUUCCUGCAGUGGGAACCCAAACUUUGUGAUAGGAGAUCCUUUGAAGAAGGUUCAAUGUGAUAAAAAUAAACUGUCAGGUUGGCCAAAAAGCACUUUCUAUAAAUUUUAUAAAGGAGCUUUAGCUCCAAUCCCAUCCCUAUGGUGAGUAGUGCUCUGUGUAGUGGAUUAGGUCGAGUUGAUAGCUCUUAAUGGGAUCCGAGGUGGUAAUUUCCGCGAGAUGUGACUCUACACACAUCUCUUGAGGAAACCACCUAUACAAGAGUAUCCUUAUGUGGCCGCGGCUAUAUGAUAUGGGCUAUCCAUAAAAACUCUUAUGAAAAAUUAAGGUACUGUGCAUGGUCAUUAAUGCACAGACCCGCAACGAAAAAUUCUCUACUGUGUGUGUGGUAGUUGAAGUCAGGGACAAAGGAACGUAAUUCAAGACCUGGUUCACUCCGAUUCCUUCUGAUGGAAAUUGCUUACACUAAGUGAGGUUAAGUCCUUAAAGACAUCUUACCUAUCGCAUAGUAUAAACACCCGGUGAUUUAUUUAUUUAUUUAUUCAUUUUUUUUUAAUUUAAUUCUUAUUUUGAAAAUUUUAAAUUUUUGUGGGAAAUUGUUGGUGAAAAAUUCAAAAUUUCCCAAUAAUUAUUUUACUUUUUAAUUCAUUAAUUUAUUAUUAUUAUUAUUAUUAUUUAAUUUUAUUAUUAAUUAACUUAAGUUUUUAUUAUUGCGGACGUUUCGGCUUGCGCCUCGCCUGCACUGUUACGCGCACUCCCGCUCCGCUCG
rnacentral:lncRNA from 1 species